CCGGAUAUGACCUCCUAUCGCAUGGUGGGUGGUGGAAAGAUUUAUCGGUGCAGGAUGGGCCCGCGGCCUAUCAGCUUGUUGGUGGGGUAAUGGCCUACCAAGGCGACGACGGGUAGCCGACCUGAGAGGGUGACCGGCCACACUGGGACUGAGACACGGCCCAGACUCCUACGGGAGGCAGCAGUGGGGAAUAUUGCACAAUGGGCGAAAGCCUGAUGCAGCGACGCCGCGUGAGGGAUGACGGCCUUCGGGUUGUAAACCUCUUUCAGCAGGGACGAAGCGCAAGUGACGGUACCUGCAGAAGAAGCACCGGCUAACUACGUGCCAGCAGCCGCGGUAAUACGUAGGGUGCAAGCGUUGUCCGGAAUUACUGGGCGUAAAGAGUUCGUAGGCGGUUUGUCGCGUCGUUUGUGAAAACCAGCAGCUCAACUGCUGGCUUGCAGGCGAUACGGGCAGACUUGAGUACUGCAGGGGAGACUGGAAUUCCUGGUGUAGCGGUGAAAUGCGCAGAUAUCAGGAGGAACACCGGUGGCGAAGGCGGGUCUCUGGGCAGUAACUGACGCUGAGGAACGAAAGCGUGGGUAGCGAACAGGAUUAGAUACCCUGGUAGUCCACGCCGUAAACGGUGGGCGCUAGGUGUGGGUUCCUUCC
rnacentral:rRNA from 1 species